rnacentral:rRNA from 1 species
UAUCCCCUACGGGGGGCAGCAGUGAGGAAUAUUGGUCAAUGGGCUUACGCCUGAACCAGCCAAGUCGCGUGAGGGAAGACUGCCCUAUGGGUUGUAAACCUCUUUUGUCAGGGAGCAACGCCGGCUAUGUGUAGCCGGACUGAGAGUACCUGAAGAAAAAGCAUCGGCUAACUCCGUGCCAGGAGCCGCGGUAAUACGGAGGAUGCGAGCGUUAUCCGGAUUUAUUGGGUUUAAAGGGAGC